CCUGACUGCUAUCGGAUUGAUACUAAGCCAUGCGAGUCAUUGUAGCAAUACAAGGCAGACGGCUCAGUAACGCGUAGUCAAUCUACCCUAUGGACGGGAAUAACCUCGGGAAACUGAGAAUAAUGCCCGAUAGAACAUUAUGCCUGGAAUGGUUUAUGUUUCAAAUGAUUUAUCGCCAUAGGAUGGGACUGCGGCCUAUCAGUUUGUUGGUGAGGUAAUGGCCCACCAAGACUAUUACAGGUACGGGCUCUGAGAGGAGUAGCCCGGAGAUGGGUACUGAGACACGGACCCAGGCCCUAUGGGGCGCAGCAGGCGAGAAAACUUUGCAAUGUGCGAAAGCACGACAAGGUUAAUCCGAGUGGUUUCUGCUAAAGAAACCUUUUGUCAGUCCUAGAAACACUAACGAAUAAGGGGUGGGCAAGUUCUGGUGUCAGCCGCCGCGGUAAAACCAGCACCUCAAGUGGUCAGGAUGAUUAUUGGGCCUAAAGCAUCCGUAGCUUGUUUUGUAAGUUUUCGGUUAAAUCCAUGCGCUUAACGUAUGGGCUGCCGGGAAUACUGCAUAACUAGGAAGUGGGAGAGGUAGACGGUACUCGGGAGGAAGGGGUAAAAUCCUUUGAUCUCUUGAUGACCACCUGUGGCGAAGGCGGUCUACCAGAACACGUUCGACGGUGAGGGAUGAAAGCUGGGGGAGCAAACCGGAUUAGAUACCCGGGUAGUCCCAGCUGUAAACUAUGCAAACUCAGUGAUGCAUUGGCUUAUGGCCAAUGCAGUGCUGCAGGGAAGCCGUUAAGUUUGCCGCCUGGGAAGUACGUACGCAAGUAUGAAACUUAAAGGGAUUGGCGGGGGAGCACCACAAGGGUGAAGCCUGCGGUUCA
rnacentral:rRNA from 1 species